rnacentral:rRNA from 1 species
UGGGGUAUAUUGCACAAUGGGGGAAACCCUGAUGCAGCGACGCCGCGUGAGCGAAGAAGGUUUUCGAAUCGUAAAGCUCUGUCCUAUGAGAAGAUAAUGACGGUAUCAUAGGAGGAAGCCCCGGCUAAAUACGUGCCAGCAGCCGCGGUAAUACGUAUGGGGCGAGCGUUGUCCGGAAUUAUUGGGCGUAAAGGGUACGUAGGCGGUCUAUUAAGUCAGGUGUGAAAGCGUGAGGCUUAACCUCAUUAAGCACUUGAAACUGAUAGACUUGAGUGAAGGAGAGGAAAGUGGAAUUCCUAGUGUAGCGGUGAAAUGCGUAGAUAUUAGGAGGAAUACCGGUGGCGAAGGCGACUUUCUGGACUUUUACUGACGCUCAGGUACGAAAGAGUGGGGAGCAAACAGG